rnacentral:rRNA from 1 species
UCGGGAAUUUUGGGCAAUGGGCGAAAGCCUGACCCAGCAACGCCGCGUGAAGGAUGAAGUAUUUCGGUAUGUAAACUUCGAAAGAAUAGGAAGAAUAAAUGACGGUACUAUUUAUAAGGUCCGGCUAACUACGUGCCAGCAGCCGCGGUAAUACGUAGGGACCAAGCGUUGUUCGGAUUUACUGGGCGUAAAGGGCGCGUAGGCGGUUCGUUAAGUUGGAUGUGAAAUCCCCGGGCUCAACCUGGGAACUGCAUUCAAAACUGACGAGCUAGAGUAUGGUAGAGGGUGGUGGAAUUUCCUGUGUAGCGGUGAAACGCGUAGAUAUAGGAAGGAACACCAGUGGCGAAGGCGACCACCUGGACUGAUACUGACACUGAGGUGCGAAAGCGUGGGGAGCAAACAGGAUUAGAUACCCCAGUAGUCCCUGAGCGGGCUGGCAAGGCGCAU